UUAAAUGGGAGGUAAUAUUUAACAGAUUUUUUCAGGUUAAUAAUAAUGAAGAAAUGCAUGUGAAAUUACAGAAAUCGUUGGUCAUUGGGUUUUCUUUAAAAUUGUGAUUUUAUGUUUUUUAAACUAAUUAGUAGUAUUUGUACAGACACAAAAGUAAUUUAUUAUUGGGAAUAAACAGCAGAAAGGAUGCACCCAUGCUUCCCCUGGCAGGACAGAAAUAUCUAUAUGGUCCAGUGCCUCUUUAAUGACUUCAAUGCAUGUAUUGUCACCAAGCCUGCCUCACGUUUAAAAAAAAUAGUCAAGAGUCUAAACUUUAUGUAACACCUUUUAUUCCAUAUUACAAAAACAUUGGGCCAGUAUCAAAAGUGCUGUGUUGAAAUUUUUAAAACAGACAAUGGUCUGUUAAUUACUGUGUUAACAGCUCUAAAACAAAAAAAAUGCCAACAUAAUAGUCAAUAGCCAACUGUCUUUCUAUGAGUCUGUGACCUUCAUGAACUUCAGGGGACUCUGGGGCUCUUGACUUCUGGAUCUCUUCUAGACAAACCGAUGCUACCAUGCACAUUAUCCUCCUUGGAGAUAGAGAACAUACAUUUAUUGAGACAUGGUUGAGGUGUAUUUGUCUUCACAAGAAUGGAUGGUGGAUACAAGUUCUAUUCAUCAUUGCCCAUUAAACAGAACUUUGUUAUGUUUUAGUACAAUAUAUAGUUGAGUUGUACUUGUUUACUUAGAGUUGUUUAACUGUAAAUGUAAGCACCUAUUGUAAGUAAGGAAAGAAACUGUUCUUAUGACGUGAGGUUUUGGUCUUGAUGGACCGCAGUCUUCUGUGUGUCCAGGGUGGGAGGGGUCGGCCACAAUCUUCCUCGCUCGCCUCAGGGUCCUCGAGCUGUGCAGGUUCUUGAGGGUAGGCAUAUUGCAGCCGAUCACCUUCUCAGCAGUGCAGAUGAUACGCUGCUGCCACUGCCAAGGACAAGAGCAGACUGCAGCGUAUCAUCCGAUGGAUGAUCUGAUCAUAACAGAUCAGUGAUGGAAGAGGUGAGGAUGGACUCAAUGAUGGCUGUGUAGAAUGCACCAUAGUUGUCUUUGGCAAGUUUAAUUUCUUCCGCUGCCGCAUGAAGUAAAUCCUCUGUUGUGCUUUCUUGGUGAGGGAGCUGAUGUUCAGUUCCCACUUGAGGUCCUGGGAGAGGAUAGUGCCCAGGAAGCGGAAGGACUCCACAGGGUUUACUGGGGCUGUAUUCUUAGUAGUCCACAAACAUCUCCACUGUCUUAAGAGCAUUAGCUCUUGGUUGUUCUGGCUACACAAGGUCACCAGGUUAUUUUAACUACUGAUAGUGGUAGGUUAUCUUGCUAACACAUAUCCAAAAAUGCACAGUGUCCAAAACACUAAGAACAUUAUUCUAGUUUUCUAAUACUUUACCAUUGUGUUGGCCGGUAGGAUUUGUAACGCAAAUAGGCCUAAUGUCAGUUUUCUGGUCAUUUCCACAAAAUUAUGCAUAAAGUAACUCUGCGAUUGGGGCCACUAUAAAAUGCAUUCUGAGUAAAACCUUUCACUUUGGCACCAACCUUUUAGUCCAGCAUAUGAUCUGGACAAGUCAUGGGAUAAAGCCCCAGUUUAUAAAAAAGUAACUUAUUUGUUGCACAAAUUUACCCUGUAACCAACACAGAAAUGUAUGAUAUGACUUGUGCUUGGUUUGGAAAGAUGUACAUUUUUUCGAACAUAUAGGGGUACAAAUGCAAUAAGAAAGAUGUCAGUGUGUGACCCAUGGUGUGACCAAAUUUAUGUUGGGGGAUGGGAUGACUACUGCCUCAGGGCUGUCAAGGAAUUUCCUAGGAGAUUAGAAACAGUAAGUCUAUUGUUAUUAAUGCUAGUAAACAGAAAACUCUGUGAAAUCAACAAUGAACUGUCCAAUAUAAUAAUUGGACAGUAAAUUGGACAGUAAAAAUAUUUAUCUCGGAGACAACAUUGAAUGUUGAUUUUUGAAUGAGGAAGGUUCACACAUGCGCAGUGGUUGUAGCAGUAGCACUUUGCUUCUCCCAACUGUCACUGCCGCACAUGGCGCGAAAACCGGAGAAGAAUGGAGGUUUCAGCUGCUCCAGAAGUUAUAGGAUUCAGGAAUUAUACUGACUGAAGAAGAGACAAAGAGAUUCAGAGAUUUACAUUUUCUCACACUCUACAUUGUCACCUGGAGUCAGCUCUGUAACCGUGGCCCCAAGUUUUUGUGAUUUACAUUUUCUCACACUACAUUGUCACCUGGAGUCAGCUCUGUAACCGUGGGCCCAAGUUUUUGUGAUUUACAUUUUCUCACACUACAUUGUCACCUGGAGUCAGCUCUGUAACCGUGGGCCCAAGUUUUUGUGAUUUACAUUUUCUCACACUACAUUGUCACCUGGAGUCAGCUCUGUAACCGUGGGCCCAAGUUUUUGUGGAAAUGGCUGAGACCGAUUUCCUCAGUGCCAUGGAGAGAACGACAGUGGGGAUCUAUGUUGUGAAAGACACUGCCAGCAGUGAACCCUCUGAUGUCAGGAUAGUCCUCGAAGGUGUGAUGGUGCUUCAAGAUCUUGAGAAUGUAGCACUUGCUUCUGCAAUGUUGUUUGGGCUCUUAUGCCUUGAACAUGCAGCACCCUACAAAGCUCCGCUACACCUUUGAGGCAUUUCAAAAGAUCAUCAUGGAGCCUCAGCAUCAGACACUUAAUAAUAUGAGCCUGUCAGCUGCAAAAACAGAACUUUUAGUGACACUAACUGACCAUGCACAGUUGCCCUAUAUAACGUUGCAGCCCGGUUCACAGCAAUCUUGCUCAAUGCUGGACCAAUUUUCAUGAAUUAACCACUAGAUAGCCUAAAUUUAUAUUGAUUGGCUGUAAAUGUAGCUGUUUUUUAAGUAUGCUUGUUUUUCCACUGUCCAAUUAACAUUUUUAUAUCUAUAAUUUCUUUAAAUUGACUGAUUAAUACUGUAAAUGUGCUGACAUUCCUUUUUGAUUAAAAGUACAUAUUCAGUA